rnacentral:rRNA from 1 species
GUCUACGGCCAUACCACCCUGAACGCGCCCGAUCUCGUCUGAUCUCGGAAGCUAAGCAGGGUCAGGCCUGGUUAGUACUUGGAUGGGAGAUGACAUUAAGGCAGUACAUC